UGGGGAAUAUUGCACAAUGGGGAAACCCUGAUGCAGCGACGCCGCGUGAGUGAAGAAGUAUUUCGGUAUGUAAAGCUCUAUCAGCAGGGAAGAUAAUGACGGUACCUGACUAAGAAGCCCCGGCUAACUACGUGCCAGCAGCCGCGGUAAUACGUAGGGGCGAAGCGUUAUCCGGAUUUACUGGGUGUAAAGGGAGCGUAGGUGGCAAGGCAAGUCAGAUGUGAAAGCCCGGGGCUCAACCCCGGCUAGCUGCAUUUGAAACUGUCUAGCUGGAGUGCAGGAGAGGUAAGUGGAAUUCCUAGUGUAGCGGUGAAAUGCGUAGAUAUUAGGAGGAACACCAGUGGCGAAGGCGGCUUACUGGACUGUAACUGACACUGAGGCUCGAAAGCGUGGGGAGCAAACAGGAUUAGAUACC
rnacentral:rRNA from 1 species